GAUGAACGCUAGCGACAGGCUUAACACAUGCAAGUCGAGGGGCAGCGAGGGCGUAGCAAUACGCCUGUCGGCGACCGGCGCACUGGUGAGUAACACGUAUGCGACCUGCCCCCUACAGGGGUAUAACCCGUAGAAAUGCGGACUAAUCCCCCAUAGUCCUGGGUGCUGCAUGGCAUUCAGGGGAAAGGUCAGCCGGUAGGGGAUGGGCAUGCGGCGCAUUAGCUAGUUGGCGGGGCAACGGCCCACCAAGGCGACGAUGCGUAGGGGUUCUGAGAGGAAGGUCCCCCACAUUGGAACUGAGACACGGUCCAAACUCCUACGGGAGGCAGCAGUGAGGAAUAUUGGUCAAUGGGCGAGAGCCUGAACCAGCCAAGUAGCGUGCAGGAUGACGGCCCUAUGGGUUGUAAACUGCUUUUAUAAGGGAUAAAGUUAGUCUCGUGAGACUUUUUGCAUGUACCUUAUGAAUAAGGACCGGCUAAUUCCGUGCCAGCAGCC
rnacentral:rRNA from 1 species